UUGUGCUUCCUUCCAUGGUCUGUGGCAGCUCUGCACUUCCCAGGUCUCAUGAGAAAUAUAACAUUCUGUUGACUUGAAAUGACAGCACCGAGUCACUAAGAAAAUUGCCAUCACAAGAUGUCAUCACUCUCCUACUGACCCACCUUCUUCUAUGGCACAGGAUCUGAAUCACUGCCUCAUCCACAUGAAGCGUCUGUUGCCCUGUUAGCUGCUGAGAAGAACUAUGUUUCCUGAGGUGUAAAUAAAUUGAGAAUUGUCCCAAGAAACAUCAGCUCCAUGGCAUCUAUGGCCUUCUCUGGACUAUUAUAUAUCAUUAAAAAUGUGAAUGCUUCGUUCUUAGGAUAUUUCCUGCACAAAUCUGAAUGGAUGCAAUUCACUGAGUGUUUUCUUCUGAAGAAGAUAUUUGAAGGAGGAGCUUGCACAACUGUAAGGUCAUCAUCAUUGUCAUGUUCCCUGCUUCAGGUAUAAUAGACAAUAUGAAGAACAUGUUUCUUGUUAAUAGCUUUUAAUGAUACAGCUCUCAUGGUCCAAGUAAGAAGUUUUGUACAAAAUGUCAAAACAGGAAGUAUGUAAUGCCUGGCUGCCCGCAAGUUUGAGGUUUGGAGAUCUUUGCAUCUCCAUGUGUGGCUCGGCACAUCUGGCCUUUGUUAGUAGUCUGUAGAGACUCCCAAUUCAUUUCUCC